rnacentral:tRNA from 2 species
GCGGUCGUAGCUCAGUUGGUUAGAGCGCAGGAUUGUGGCUCCUGAGGUCGUAGGUUCGAUCCCCACCGACCGUACCA